UAACAAAGAAUGAAAUUACUACUUAUAAAAAGAAAAAGUUAUAUCUAUUAUAUGCAAAGAAGAAGAAAAUAUGGCUCAAGUUCUCAUAUUUGUUUAUGCAAUGCUCAUCAUUAUUUUUCUAUUUCUUGUUGAAACAAGCAAAGCAACUCGCAAUCCUUGCAAAUCUGUCACUGAAUGUCCAGAGGUUGGAGGACAUUUUGCAUUAUGUGUUGAUGGUAUUUGUGAUUAUUGCCCUUUGAUUAUGAUAUGAAUAAAUAAAUGGUUACAUAAAUAAAUAAUUUUAUGUAAAAGGCUCUUUUAUAUCUUAAAGACUCUUACAUAAAUAAAAUAAUAGCUUCAAGCAUUACAUGA